GAGGAAGUAAAAGUCGUAACAAGGUUUCCGUAGGUGAACCUGCGGAAGGAUCAUUAAAAGAAAUUGGUUAUACAUUUCAUGUAUCAACUGUUUAAACCCAUUCUGUGUACCUUGCCUGUUGCUUCCAUGGAGCCUGACUUUGGUCACUCUUGUGAUGUAAAUCCCAAGGGAGUCCCCAUGGAAGGUCAUCAAUAAAACUCAUGUAUCCAAUUUCUUCUGUCUGAACUGUUUAUAACAAAUGUUAAAACUUUCAACAACGGAUCUCUUGGUUCUCGCAUCGAUGAAGAACGCAGCGAAAUGCGAUAAGUAGUGUGAAUUGCAGAAUUCAGUGAAUCAUCGAAUCUUUGAACGCACAUUGCGCCUCCUGGUAUUCCGGGAGGCAUGCCUGUUCGAGCGUCAUUAAAUACCUCUCAAGCACCAUUGCUUGGUCAUGGAAGAUGAGUAUGCUUGCAUUCUCCCUUCUGAAAUUCAAAGGCGGAUCAUCUCAUAUUCCCUGGCGUAGUAAGUGUUUAUCUUUCGCUUGGAGUGUGUGACAGUCUUGCCAUCGACCCCCAUUAUUUCAAGGUUGACCUCGGAUCAGGUAGGGAUACCCGCUGAACUUAAGCAUAUCA
rnacentral:rRNA from 1 species